AUUGAACGCUGGCGGCAUGCCUUACACAUGCAAGUCGAACGGUAACAGGUCUUCGGAUGCCGACGAGUGGCGAACGGGUGAGUAAUACAUCGGAACGUGCCCGAUCGUGGGGGAUAACGAAGCGAAAGCUUUGCUAAUACCGCAUAAGAUCUAAGGAUGAAAGCAGGGGACCGCAAGGCCUUGCGCGAACGGAGCGGCCGAUGGCAGAUUAGGUAGUUGGUGGGAUAAAAGCUUACCAAGCCGACGAUCUGUAGCUGGUCUGAGAGGACGACCAGCCACACUGGGACUGAGACACGGCCCAGACUCCUACGGGAGGCAGCAGUGGGGAAUUUUGGACAAUGGGCGAAAGCCUGAUUCAGCCAUGCCGCGUGCAGGAUGAAGGCCUUCGGGUUGUAAACUGCUUUUGUACGGAACGAAAAGACUCUUUCUAAUAAAGAGGGUCCAUGACGGUACCGUAAGAAUAAGCACCGGCUAACUACGUGCCAGCCGCCGCAGUAA
rnacentral:rRNA from 1 species